GCCCCCGUGGCCUAAUGGCUAAGGCGUGAGACUUCUAAACUAGAAUAAAGCGGGUUCGAGUCCCGCCGGGGGUU